GCAGGUGGGUGCCCAAGGAGGGCGCGGGGAGCGGGAGGCCGCCCCGCGGCCAGGGCGUCUCCCCAUUGCGCUGAGGGGGCAACUGAGGCGAACGCGCGCCUCAAGGUCGCGCCGCCCGCCAAGGUCGCUCGGGAUUCCGGGCCGGACCGCGCCGUUCCGAGGCCGGGUGGCCUUGGGCAUCACCAUCUUCUCAAACUGCAGAUGAGGCGCAGCCGCCUGCGUCUGAGAGGUUACGAAAUGCUUCCAAAAUGCCCUACUUUCCGAAAAUAUCUUGCAGCUCUGCCUGUGUUUUCUGCAGGAGGAAGACAUCACGGCAAGAGCCCGGCGGCUCUACCUGUAAAGACACCGCAGAUUCUGCCCUCGUAAUCAUAAAAUCUCUGCGUUCCCAUUUCGGCGGCAGAGUUGUGCUCUGGACUCGGGGUGAAACACAGAACUUCAGUUUAAAGUGAAUUCCCCCAGGCAAAGACGUUAAUAAUCCUUUUAUUGCUAAUACUGAAUGCACUUCUGUGACCCUAGUGUUUUGUUCAGAAGACCUCAAAAAGGAACCCAGGAUAGGGUUUGAGACGCAAAUGAGAAACAUGAAGUCCGGUGCCGGCGUGGGCAGCCUACCUGUGCUGGGAAUGUCGGGUGGUUCUGUUCUCACAGCCACCCGUUAUCCCCACUCACUGAUGUGAAUGUUACAUGGCUCGCUCAGAGCAACCCUCUUGGGAGAGUUAGCGAAGGAGAACUGGAACCUGCUUCCUUUUCUUUCUCAUUCCACAUCACCUGGUGCUUUGUGACCUUGAGGAAGCUACUUGCCCUCAUCUGGCACUGAAAAAAAUGAGCAGAGGCCCUCAGGCCUAACUUCAGCUUCCCUCCCUUCCACUCUGAGCCUGAGUACAAUGAGGCCCCCCUCCAAGAAAGAAAUUAAUGAAUGCAGGAAAGCCUAAUAAAAGCAUCCUUUAUGACUUC